CUGGUAUGAAAGGUUUGACGAGAUAUUAACUGUUUCAUAAAAAUUUAUAAUAGAAUUUUAUUUUUUAGUCAAAAAGCUAAAAUAAAUUUAAAAGACGAGAAGACCCUAUAAAUCUUUAUAUUUAGAUAAUUACAAUUUUGUGGAUUUUUUUUGUUGUGAUUGUUGAUAAUAUUUUAUUGGGGUGAUAUUAAAAUUUAAAAAACUUUUAAUUAAUUAAAUCAUUAAUUUAUGAAUAAUUGAUCCGUUAUUAACGAUUAAAAAUUUAAGUUACCUUAGGGAUAACAGCG
rnacentral:rRNA from 1 species